UUUCAGGGACUGAGCCUUGCCAUCUUCUAAGGGUUCAAAUGUACCUUUAUAGAUAUUUCACUGAACUAAUAGGAAUGAGAAGAUAUUAUCUCAAAUUUGGCAAGUUGCUAUGAAGUCAUAAAUUAAAUUAAGCACAAGGCUGAUGUUCUCACCAUAAGACAUUUUUGUACAAGACUAAGAACUCAGCAUGCUUUUACAUUGGAAAUUUGGUAAUUAAUAUCAGCAUCCUGAUUUUCCAUUGGGGAGUAAGUCAACCUUCCUUGGAUAGUAGCAUAGGGACCUUUAUUGUACAUAAGUAACCUGGACUUGGGCAGAGUCAAUGAAUUUAUCCACGAAUGGGUAUCUGCCUUCAGUCCAGUGAAAAUCAACCAGGUACUUCUGUACAGCCCGAGGGGGAAUAUGUCCUUUUCUCUGCCUGAAGUUGCCCAUGGUCAUGUUUGUGAUUAUACGGGGUAAACUGAGAAUAAAAUAAUCACAUACAAAAGAAGAAUCAAAAAAAUGAGAUAUGAUCUUGAUAACCUAAUUUGAACUCUAAGUAAUUCUCAUAACAGGAUUUAGUGAACAUUCUAACCCU
rnacentral:lncRNA from 1 species